AUUGAACGCUGGCGGCAGGCCUAACACAUGCAAGUCGAACGAGUGGCGGACGGGUGAGUAAUGUCUGGGAAACUGCCCGAUGGAGGGGGAUAACUACUGGAAACGGAAGCUAAUACCGCAUACCAUCGGAUGUGCCCAGAUGGGAUUGGCGAGUAGGGGGGGGAACGGCUCACCUAGGCGACGACCACUAGCUGGGCUGAGAGGAUGACCGGCCACACUGGACCUGGGACACGGCCCAGACUCUUACGGGAGGCAGCAGUGGGGAAUAUUGCACAAUGGGCGCAAUCCUGAUGCAGCCAUGCCGCGUGUAUGAAGAAGGCCUUCGGUUUGUAAAGUACUUUCAGCGAGGAGGCGUUACUCGAAGAAGAAGCACCGGCUAACUCCGUGCCAGCAGCCGCGGUAAUAC
rnacentral:rRNA from 1 species